UACGUAGGGGGCAAGCGUUGUCCGGAAUUAUUGGGCGUAAAGAGCGUGUAGGCGGCCAGGUAGGUCUGCUGUGAAAACUCGAGGCUUAACCUCGAGCUGUCGGCGGAAACCAUUUGGCUAGAGUCCGGAAGAGGAGAAUGGAAUUCCCGGUGUAGCGGUGAAAUGCGCAGAUAUCGGGAAGAACACCCGUGGCGAAGGCGGUUCUCUGGGACGGUACUGACGCUGAGACGCGAAAGCGUGGGGAGCGAACAGG
rnacentral:rRNA from 1 species